rnacentral:sRNA from 1 species
GUUUCACCGAAUUGUUCCAACACUGAACUAUAUCUUAUUUAAGGCCGAACUGUUUCAACAUUGAGCUAUAUUAAUUAAAUGUAUGAGCGAUGAUGUAUUUAUAGUACUUUUUUUUUUGCUUUGAUCACAUAAAAACACAACACAUCAUUAUUAAUACAAAAUUUCGUGUCAUUACAACAUACAUCGUUAGAAACGAAAAUGGUCACGCUGGGCUAAAUAUUGAGUACUAGAUUUUAACUCGCGCUAUACCGCGGGACGAUUUAUUUUUUUUAAGUAAUAUAUAUUAAAACUUGCAAAUUUUAUUUUUAUAA